AUUGAACGCUGGCGGCAGGCCUAACACAUGCAAGUCGAACGAGUGGCGGACGGGUGAGUAAUGUCUGGGAAACUGCCCGAUGGAGGGGGAUAACUACUGGAAACGGUAGCUAAUACCGCAUACCAUCGGAUGUGCCCAGAUGGGAUUAGCUAGGAGGUGGGGUAAAGGCUCACCUAGGCGACAAUCCCUAGCUGGUCUGAGAGGAUGACCAGCCACACUGGAACUGAGAACCGGUCCAGACUCCUACGGGAGGCAGCAGGGGGGAAUAUUGCACAAUGGGCGCAAGCCUGAUGCAGCCCUGCCGGGUGGAUGAAGAAGGCCUUCGGGUUGUAAAGGACCUUCAGCGGGGAGGCGUUACCCGCAGAAGAAGCACCGGCUAACUCCGUGCCAGCCGCCGCGGUAAUAC
rnacentral:rRNA from 1 species